UUAAGCGACUAAGCGUACACGGUGGAUGCCCUGGCAGUCAGAGGCGAUGAAGGACGUGCUAAUCUGCGAUAAGCGUCGGUAAGGUGAUAUGAACCGUUAUAACCGGCGAUUUCCGAAUGGGGAAACCCAGUGUGUUUCGACACACUAUCAUUAACUGAAUCCAUAGGUUAAUGAGGCGAACCGGGGGAACUGAAACAUCUAAGUACCCCGAGGAAAAGAAAUCAACCGAGAUUCCCCCAGUAGCGGCGAGCGAACGGGGAGGAGCCCAGAGCCUGAAUCAGUGUGUGUGUUAGUGGAAGCGUCUGGAAAGGCGCGCGAUACAGGGUGACAGCCCCGUACACAAAAAUGCACAUGCUGUGAGCUCGAUGAGUAGGGCGGGACACGUGGUAUCCUGUCUGAAUAUGGGGGGACCAUCCUCCAAGGCUAAAUACUCCUGACUGACCGAUAGUGAACCAGUACCGUGAGGGAAAGGCGAAAAGAACCCCGGCGAGGGGAGUGAAAAAGAACCUGAAACCGUGUACGUACAAGCAGUGGGAGCACGCUUAGGCGUGUGACUGCGUACCUUUUGUAUAAUGGGUCAGCGACUUAUAUUCUGUAGCAAGGUUAACCGAAUAGGGGAGCCGAAGGGAAACCGAGUCUUAACUGGGCGUUAAGUUGCAGGGUAUAGACCCGAAACCCGGUGAUCUAGCCAUGGGCAGGUUGAAAGUUGGGUAACACUAACUGGAGGACCGAACCGACUAAUGUUGAAAAAUUAGCGGAUGACUUGUGGCUGGGGGUGAAAGGCCAAUCAAACCGGGAGAUAGCUGGUUCUCCCCGAAAGCUAUUUAGGUAGCGCCUCGUGAAUUCAUCUCCGGGGGUAGAGCACUGUUUCGGCAAGGGGGUCAUCCCGACUUACCAACCCGAUGCAAACUGCGAAUACCGGAGAAUGUUAUCACGGGAGACACACGGCGGGUGCUAACGUCCGUCGUGAAGAGGGAAACAACCCAGACCGCCAGCUAAGGUCCCAAAGUCAUGGUUAAGUGGGAAACGAUGUGGGAAGGCCCAGACAGCCAGGAUGUUGGCUUAGAAGCAGCCAUCAUUUAAAGAAAGCGUAAUAGCUCACUGGUCGAGUCGGCCUGCGCGGAAGAUGUAACGGGGCUAAACCAUGCACCGAAGCUGCGGCAGCGACGCUGAUGCGUUGUUGGGUAGGGGAGCGUUCUGUAAGCCUGUGAAGGUGUGCUGUGAGGCAUGCUGGAGGUAUCAGAAGUGCGAAUGCUGACAUAAGUAACGAUAAAGCGGGUGAAAAGCCCGCUCGCCGGAAGACCAAGGGUUCCUGUCCAACGUUAAUCGGGGCAGGGUGAGUCGACCCCUAAGGCGAGGCCGAAAGGCGUAGUCGAUGGGAAACAGGUUAAUAUUCCUGUACUUGGUGUUACUGCGAAGGGGGGACGGAGAAGGCUAUGUUGGCCGGGCGACGGUUGUCCCGGUUUAAGCGUGUAGGCUGGUUUUCCAGGCAAAUCCGGAAAACUAAGGCUGAGGCGUGAUGACGAGGCACUACGGUGCUGAAGCAACAAAUGCCCUGCUUCCAGGAAAAGCCUCUAAGCAUCAGGUAACAUCAAAUCGUACCCCAAACCGACACAGGUGGUCAGGUAGAGAAUACCAAGGCGCUUGAGAGAACUCGGGUGAAGGAACUAGGCAAAAUGGUGCCGUAACUUCGGGAGAAGGCACGCUGAUAUGUAGGUGAAGUCCCUCGCGGAUGGAGCUGAAAUCAGUCGAAGAUACCAGCUGGCUGCAACUGUUUAUUAAAAACACAGCACUGUGCAAACACGAAAGUGGACGUAUACGGUGUGACGCCUGCCCGGUGCCGGAAGGUUAAUUGAUGGGGUCAGCGCAAGCGAAGCUCUUGAUCGAAGCCCCGGUAAACGGCGGCCGUAACUAUAACGGUCCUAAGGUAGCGAAAUUCCUUGUCGGGUAAGUUCCGACCUGCACGAAUGGCGUAAUGAUGGCCAGGCUGUCUCCACCCGAGACUCAGUGAAAUUGAACUCGCUGUGAAGAUGCAGUGUACCCGCGGCAAGACGGAAAGACCCCGUGAACCUUUACUAUAGCUUGACACUGAACAUUGAGCCUUGAUGUGUAGGAUAGGUGGGAGGCUUUGAAGUGUGGACGCCAGUCUGCAUGGAGCCGACCUUGAAAUACCACCCUUUAAUGUUUGAUGUUCUAACGUUGACCCGUAAUCCGGGUUGCGGACAGUGUCUGGUGGGUAGUUUGACUGGGGCGGUCUCCUCCUAAAGAGUAACGGAGGAGCACGAAGGUUGGCUAAUCCUGGUCGGACAUCAGGAGGUUAGUGCAAUGGCAUAAGCCAGCUUGACUGCGAGCGUGACGGCGCGAGCAGGUGCGAAAGCAGGUCAUAGUGAUCCGGUGGUUCUGAAUGGAAGGGCCAUCGCUCAACGGAUAAAAGGUACUCCGGGGAUAACAGGCUGAUACCGCCCAAGAGUUCAUAUCGACGGCGGUGUUUGGCACCUCGAUGUCGGCUCAUCACAUCCUGGGGCUGAAGUAGGUCCCAAGGGUAUGGCUGUUCGCCAUUUAAAGUGGUACGCGAGCUGGGUUUAGAACGUCGUGAGACAGUUCGGUCCCUAUCUGCCGUGGGCGCUGGAGAACUGAGGGGGGCUGCUCCUAGUACGAGAGGACCGGAGUGGACGCAUCACUGGUGUUCGGGUUGUCAUGCCAAUGGCACUGCCCGGUAGCUAAAUGCGGAAGAGAUAAGUGCUGAAAGCAUCUAAGCACGAAACUUGCCCCGAGAUGAGUUCUCCCUGACUCCUUGAGAGUCCUGAAGGAACGUUGAAGACGACGACGUUGAUAGGCCGGGUGUGUAAGCGCAGCGAUGCGUUGAGCUAACCGGUACUAAUGAACCGUGAGGCUUAACCUU
rnacentral:rRNA from 1 species